CUUAAAGGAAUUGACGGAAGGGCACCACCAGGGGGUGCAGCUGCGGCUUACUUUGACUCACCACGGGAAAUCUCACCAGGCCCGGACACCGGAAGGAUUGACAGAUUAACAGCUCUUUCUUGGUUCGGUGGGUGGUGGUGCAUGGCCGUUCUUAGUUGGUGGAGCGAUUUGUCUGGUUACUUCCGGUACCGAACGAGACUCUAUCCUGCUAAAUAUGCGUCGCCAUUUAGGUGUGCUCGACUUCGAGUCGUGCAACUCACUGGCGACGUAUUAAAAUUCUUCUUAGAGGGACCGGCGGCUUCGAGGCGCACGAGAUUGAGCAAUAACAGGUCUGUGAUGCCCUUAGAUGUCCUGGGCCGCACGCGCGCUACAUGGAAGGAAUC
rnacentral:rRNA from 1 species